CCGCUUCCCCUUGUCAGGGGAAGGGAGGCGGUGCCCGCGAGCACAACGGCCCGCCUAGGGUUUGCUGAGCUUCUGCGCAUGUUCAGAUUCCAGCCAAUCCGGGAGCCUCCACCAGAGAAGGGAGCGAUUCCUAGACAAAGUUCGAGGCCAUAUCAUUGCAGUAAGGAGAAGCUUCAAUAAUAACUGCUGAGAGAGAAGCCAGGUUGUUUCCACUGCAUCAUUAGAGGGGUGUGGCACAAAGACCAGUUGCCUUGUGUCAGUGGCCAAGAGAGACCCACUGGCCAUGGGGGACUGACACCACUAUUGAAGCUGAUCCUGCUCUGUCUCUUCUCUAUGUAAAUAAACUAUUGUCUGUCCAA